rnacentral:misc_RNA from 1 species
GAUGAAGAACGUAGCGAAAUGCGAUAAGUAGUGUGAAUUGCAGAAUUCAGUGAAUCAUCGAAUCUUUGAACGCACAUUGCGCCCCUUGGUAUUCCAUGGGGCAUGCCUGUUCGAGCGUCAUUUGUACCUUCAAGCUUUGCUUGGUGUUGGGUGUUUGUCUCGCCUUUGCGUGUAGACUCGCCUUAAAAUAAUUGGCAGCCGGCGUAUUGAUUUCGGAGCGCAGUACAUCUCGCGCUUUGCACUCAUAACGACAGCGUCCAAAAGUACAUUUUACACUCUUGACCUCGGAUCAGGUAGGGAUUCCCGCUGAACUUAAGCAUAUCAAUAAGCGGAGGA